rnacentral:rRNA from 1 species
CGCUGGCGGCAGGCCUAACACAUGCAAGUCGAACGGUAACAGGAAACAGCUUGCUGUUUCGCUGACGAGUGGCGGACGGGUGAGUAAUGUCUGGGAAACUGCCUGAUGGGGGGGGAUAACUACUGGAAACGGUAGCUAAUACCGCAUAACGUCGCAAGACCAAAGAGGGGGACCUUAGGGCCUCUUGCCAUCGGAUGUGCCCAGAUGGGAUUAGCUAGUAGGUGGGGUAAAGGCUCACCUAGGCGACGAUCCCUAGCUGGUCUGAGAGGAUGACCAGCCACACUGGAACUGAGACACGGUCCAGACUCCUACGGGAGGCAGCAGUGGGGAAUAUUGCACAAUGGGCGCAAGCCUGAUGCAGCCAUGCCGCGUGUAUGAAGAAGGCCUUCGGGUUGUAAAGUACUUUCAGCGGGGAGGAAGGGAGUAAAGUUAAUACCUUUGCUCAUUGACGUUACCCGCAGAAGAAGCACCGGCUAACUCCGUGCCAGCAGCCGCGGUAAUACGGAGGGUGCAAGCGUUAAUCGGAAUUACUGGGCGUAAAGCGCACGCAGGCGGUUUGUUAAGUCAGAUGUGAAAUCCCCGGGCUCAACCUGGGAACUGCAUCUGAUACUGGCAAGCUUGAGUCUCGUAGAGGGGGGUAGAAUUCCAGGUGUAGCGGUGAAAUGCGUAGAGAUCUGGAGGAAUACCGGUGGCGAAGGCGGCCCCCUGGACGAAGACUGACGCUCAGGUGCGAAAGCGUGGGGAGCAAACAGGAUUAGAUACCCUGGUAGUCCACGCCGUAAACGAUGUCGACUUGGAGGUUGUGCCCUUGAGGCGUGGCUUCCGGAGCUAACGCGUUAAGUCGACCGCCUGGGGAGUACGGCCGCAAGGUUAAAACUCAAAUGAAUUGACGGGGGCCCGCACAAGCGGUGGAGCAUGUGGUUUAAUUCGAUGCAACGCGAAGAACCUUACCUGGUCUUGACAUCCACGGAAGUUUUCAGAGAUGAGAAUGUGCCUUCGGGAACCGUGAGACAGGUGCUGCAUGGCUGUCGUCAGCUCGUGUUGUGAAAUGUUGGGUUAAGUCCCGCAACGAGCGCAACCCUUAUCCUUUGUUGCCAGCGGUCCGGCCGGGAACUCAAAGGAGACUGCCAGUGAUAAACUGGAGGAAGGUGGGGAUGACGUCAAGUCAUCAUGGCCCUUACGACCAGGGCUACACACGUGCUACAAUGGCGCAUACAAAGAGAAGCGACCUCGCGAGAGCAAGCGGACCUCAUAAAGUGCGUCGUAGUCCGGAUUGGAGUCUGCAACUCGACUCCAUGAAGUCGGAAUCGCUAGUAAUCGUGGAUCAGAAUGCCACGGUGAAUACGUUCCCGGGCCUUGUACACACCGCCCGUCACACCAUGGGAGUGGGUUGCAAAAGAAGUAGGUAGCUUAACCUUCGGGAGGGCGCUUACCACUUUGUGAUUCAUGACUGGGGUG